rnacentral:misc_RNA from 1 species
AAGUCGUAACAAGGUUUCCGUAGGUGAACCUGCGGAAGGAUCAUUAACAAAUUCUUCAACACUGACGUCCCAUCCAGUGUGUUUGUGUGUGUGUGUGUGUGUGUGGUGCUUGUCUAGUAAAGGGGAUGAUCUCUCAUCAUGUCAAAUGAAGAGAGAGGGUUCCCGUGAACAACAAACGCACAUACAUACAUACAUACAUACACGCACAUUGGAUGGUGUACUCACUCACACACAUCUUGAUGGACAACACCUAGUGAUUCAUAUUACAAAAUGUAUAGACAACUUUUAACAAUGGAUCUCUUGGCUCUU